rnacentral:rRNA from 1 species
GACGAACGCUGGCGGCGUGCCUAAUACAUGCAAGUCGAACGCAGUGGGGACGGGUGAGUAACACGUGGGUAACCUCCCAUCAGAGGGGAUAACACUCGGAAACAGGUGCUAAACCGAUACUGAUGGAUGGACCCGGGGUGCAUUAGCUAGUUGGGGAGGUAACGGCUCACCAAGGCGACGAUGCAUAGCCGGCCUGAGAGGGUGAUCGGCCACACUGGGACUGAGACACGGCCCAGACUCCUACGGGAGGCAGCAGUGGGGAAUAUUGGGCAAUGGGCGAAAGUCUGACCGAGCAACGCCGCGUGAGUGAAGAAGGUUUUCGGAUCGUAAAGCUCUGUAAUUAGAGAGGCGGUAUCUAACCAGAAAGCAACGGCUAACUACGUGCCAGCAGCCGCGGUAAUAC